GAUGAUUGUCAAAUAGGUAUUUUUAUAUUUGAGACACAAUUUUUAUAAGACCAUUAAAUUUUCAUCUUUAUAUAGAAAGCUUUUUAUCAAAUGUUAAGUCACUCAACCAAGCGUAAGAUUUGUUCUGAACUUUGAACAGUUUGAAACUAAUUGCUACAUUCAAUCUAUUGUCACUUGGUUCUUCCUGUUUCCGUAUCUUGCCUUUUCAUGUUUGCUUGGUGAUAGUUCACCUUGCACUAUUUACAAUGGCUGGUGAAUGUUUUAAAAAAUGGUUUUCAACCUUGUGAUGGUAGUUCAGAAUGAUGUUUAUAAAUCAAAUUUUCAAAGCCUUCAUGGUGAUACAAAAAUGUGUAUGUAUCAUUUUUUUGUUGAGUGUAUCAUUAUUUAGAAGGAUUAAAUAAACAAAAAAAAAUAAACAGUGUAGAAAUAAAAAUUUAGAAGAUAGUCAAAAAUUGUUAGUUACCCCCCCCCCCCCCCCCC